UCUAUACAUGCAGUCGAGCGGAAGAUGGGAGCUUGCUCCCUGAUGUUAGCGGCGGACGGGUGAGUAACACGUGGGUAACCUGCCUGUAAGACUGGGAUAACUCCGGGAAACCGGGGCUAAUACCGGAUGCUUGUUUGAACCGCAUGGUUCAAACAUAAAAGGUGGCUUCGGCUACCACUUACAGAUGGACCCGCGGCGCAUUAGCUAGUUGGUGAGGUAAUGGCUCACCAAGGCAACGAUGCGUAGCCGACCUGAGAGGGUGAUCGGCCACACUGGGACUGAGACACGGCCCAGACUCCUACGGGAGGCAGCAGUAGGGAAUCUUCCGCAAUGGACGAAAGUCUGACGGAGCAACGCCGCGUGAGUGAUGAAGGUUUUCGGAUCGUAAAGCUCUGUUGUUAGGGAAGAACAAGUACCGUUCGAAUAGGGCGGUACCUUGACGGUACCUAACCAGAAAGCCACGGCUAACUACGUGCCAGCAGCCGCGGUAAUACGUAGGUGGCAAGCGUUGUCCGGAAUUAUUGGGCGUAAAGGGCUCGCAGGCGGUUUCUUAAUUCUGAUGUGAAACCCCCCGGCUCAACCGAGGAGGGUCGUUGAAAGCUGGAGAACUUGACUGCAAAGGAGGAGAGUAACUCCUCCACGUGUAGGUGAAAUGUGUAUAGAGGUGUGAGAAAAACGCGAUGUCAAAAGGCGUACACUCUCUGUCUCUAUACUGUACCCCUAGGGAGGGAAAAGCAUGGGAGAAGUGA
rnacentral:rRNA from 1 species